AUUGAACGCUGGCGGCAUGCCUUACACAUGCAAGUCGAACGGCAGCACGGGAGCAAUCCUGGUGGCGAGUGGCGAACGGGUGAGUAAUAUAUCGGAACGUGCCCAGUAGUGGGGGAUAGCCCGGCGAAAGCCGGAUUAAUACCGCAUGAGACCUGAGGGUGAAAGCGGGGGAUCGCAAGACCUCGCGCUAUUGGAGCGGCCGAUAUCAGAUUAGCUAGUUGGUGGGGUAAAGGCCUACCAAGGCAACGAUCUGUAGUUGGUCUGAGAGGACGACCAGCCACACUGGGACUGAGACGCGGCCCAGACUCCUACGGGAGGCAGCAGUGGGGAAUUUUGGACAAUGGGCGCAAGCCUGAUCCAGCAAUGCCGCGUGCAGGAAGAAGGCCUUCGGGUUGUAAACUGCUUUCGUCAGGGAAGAAAUCUUCUGGGCUAAUAUCCCGGGAGGAUGACGGUACCUGAAGAAUAAGCACCGGCUAACUACGUGCCAGCCGCCGCGGUAACAC
rnacentral:rRNA from 1 species